UCAUCCCGAAGCGACAAAAGCGUGGUGGGGGUGCGGUUGUAAUUGUUCCUUGGUAGUGUUAGGGGCCUCUAGCGAAGGUGUCAUGGCUGCUGCCACGGAUCUGAGUUGCCCAAACAGCAAUGACAGGAGCCUAGAGCAAAGCUGCAGCCCCAACGUCUCCCGAGAGGUACUGUGUGAAAUCUUUCGCUCCCUGCACACCUUGGCUGGACAGCUUAACCUCAAAGAUGAUGUGGUGAAAAUUACAAUCGAUUGGGACAAGCUCCAGAGCCUCUCGGCAUUCCAGCCUGCACUGCUCUUUAGAGCACUUGAGCAACACAUUUUAUAUUUACAGCCUUUUUUAGCGAAACUUCAGCCUGUCAUUAAAGAGGAAAAUUCAGCUGCUAUUGAAGAGAUAGGAAAAAUAGAAGCAGGGAGCAAGAAUGAACUAAAUGCCGUAUUUCCCACUAGUGACUGGCAAGAGGAAGAAAAGCACAAAGAUUGUGAUUUAGGAGAUGUGAAAAAGACACAAAUCCAUUUUGAUCCAGAAGUAGUUCAAAUAAAGGCUGGAAAAGCAGAAAUUGACAGAAGAAUAUCCGCAUUUAUUGAAAGAAAGCAAGCUGAAAUCAAUGAAAACAACGUCAGGGAAUUUUGCAAUGUUAUUGAUUGUAAUCAAGAAAAUAGUUGUGCAAGAACUGAUGCCGUUUUUACACCUUACCCCGGAUUUAAAAGUCAUGUAAAGGUUUCUAGAGUUGUCAAUACAUAUGGACCACAGACUAGACCUGAGGGAAUUCAAGGGUCAGGUCAUAAAUCUAACAGCAUGCUUCGAGACUGUGGUAAUCAGGCUGUAGAAGAACGACUACAAAAUAUUGAGGCUCACUUGCGAUUGCAGUCAGGUGGUCCAGUGCCAAGAGACAUUUAUCAGAGAAUUAAAAAACUUGAAGAUAAAAUCCUUGAGUUGGAAGGUAUCUCUCCUGAAUAUUUUCAAUCUGUGAACUUUUCUGGAAAAAGAAGAAAAGUUCAACCACCACAGCUUUUGCUUUUAAUGGCAAGGACUAGAAGAAAAUAGGAACUUCCAUUCAUCAUUAAAAGAUUCUGAGGUGAUGCAAAGAGACAAAGGGCAGUACUCUAGAUCCUAUUGACGAAGCCUGGGAAUUAUCUUGUUCAUUCCAAGGAGCAAAAGCUGGCUGAGCCGAGUCUAUGCCUGUGUUUUGAUAUUGCAAAGCAGAAAACAAAGCCUCCUAGACCUGCACUCUAAUUAAAGGACAGAUCAUAAAUAAAGUACUUAAGUGAGAUUCAUGCAAUGUUAAAGACUGUAUAAAGAGAAAAAUAAAGUUGGGAAGAAGCUUUAAAAAAAAAAAGAAAGAAAACUAGAUAGUAAAUACUGUGGGAUCAAUCGAACCAAGGAAGUCAAAGAUGUCUACAAUAAACAUUUCAGAAAACUGAAGAAAAAAAUUGAACAGGAUUCCAGAAGAUGGCCAAAGCUCCUAUAUUCAUGGAUUGGUGGAAUUAAUAAUGUCAAAAUGGCAAUAUUACCAAAAGAACUCUAUAGAAUCAGUGCAAUCACUGUCAGAGUAUUAAUAACAAUUUUCACAGAUCUAGAAAAAAAAUUUUAAAUUUAUAUGGAAACGCAAAAGAUUCAGACUAGCCAAGCCAUCCUAAGAAAAAUAAGCAAGGAUGGAGGCAUCACAAUACCUUUCAAAUUAUACUACAAAGCCAUAAUAAUAAAAACAACAUGAUACUAGCACAAAAAUAGUCACAUGAAACAGUGGAAUAGAACAAACAACACAGAAACAAACGGACACAGCUACAAUUAUCUGUGAACAAAGAAGUCAAAAAUAUACAUCCUCUUUAACAAAUAGUUCUGGAAAAAAUGGAUGUGAGGAGAAAAGAAUCUUCCUAUACUUUUUAUGGGAGUAUAAAUUAGUGAAUCUUUAUGGAAAUCUCUUGAAUGUCUUUUAAUAAACUAAAAUUAGAGCUACCAUUUGAUCCAACACUUGGUAUAUAACCACUCCUUGGUAUAUACCCAAAGCAAUUAAAAUCAGCAUACUAUCGGGAUACCUACAUAUCCGUGUUGAUUGUGUCACAAUUCACAAGACAAAGAACCAGCUGAUAUAUAUAUAUAUAUAUAUAUAUAUAUAUAUAUAUAUAUAUUCAGCCACAAGGAAGAAUAAAAGAAAAUGGGGGAUUUAGCUCAGUGACACAAGUGCCUGCCUGGCAAGUGUGAGGUUGUGAAUUCAAUUCUACCUAUGAAGAAAGAAAGAGAGAGAGAGAGAGAGAGAGAGAGAGAGAGACAGAGAGAGAGAGAGACAGAGAGACAGAGACAGAGAACAAGAAAGAAAAGGAAAGGAAAGAGAAAAAAGAAAAGAAAAGAAAAUAGAUGGACUUGGAAACUUAUGUUUAGAGAAACAAACAACACUGAGAAAGACACAUAUUUGACACACUGUUCCCCAUAAUAUUUAGAUUUUUAAAAACAUGACAAGUAAGUAGAAGAAAAACUGUUUUUAGGCAAAAAGAAAGGAAUAAGAGAGAGGGAAGAAGGUGUAAGUGCAGAUAAUGGGGAGAUGAUACAAACAAAUGUGAAGUCAAUGUAGAGGGCAGGGCCAAGGGGUGAUGGAGGAUAAAAAUGAUCAAAAUAUAUUACAUGGAUACAUGAAUUUGCCAGUAUGAAACCCAAUUGUCUGUAUAACAGAAAAGUGGCAAAAAGCAGGUAGAGUGAUGCUUUAAAAAUCACAUCAAGACACUCUUCUAAUCGUAACUUGGUUCAGUGGCUUCCUAUGCCUUUCAGAGUAAAAGCCAGGUUCUUUGAAUGACCUACAAAAUCUGUAUGGUCUGGCAUCCAUUAUGCUGCUAACCACAUUUCCUAACUUCCCUCUCCCCACAGUAUACACCAGCCACACCUGCUUCCUUGCUGAUUCUGGGACAUACCAGGCAUACUUCAGUUUUGUGACUUUUGAACUUGCUAUUUCCUCUGCCUAGAACUCUUGCCUAGGAUAUUCCCAUGACUUUCAGUGGGGGUUUCCAUGGCUACCUUUUCAGAAAAUAACUUUCCCCUCUCUUCUCCAGGCAUUCUUUAUUCAUCUAUUUUUAGUUGUUUUUGUCACUAUCUAAUAUACUAUAGUGUAAUUCAAACACUUACUUAUUGGAAUGCCUGGUCAAACUAUACAGGGCUCUAAUUAUUGCAAGACACUUUUGUUCAUAUGUCUUAUGCAUUGCCUAUAUGGACUGAAAAUAAUCUGCUUUACCCUUAUAUGUAAAACUGUUCAUCUAUUAUUAUAAUUAAUAAAAUAUAAAUUCAUGUAAAA